rnacentral:rRNA from 1 species
UACGGGGGGGGCAAGCGUUGUUCGGAAUUACUGGGCGUAAAGGGCUCGUAGGCGGCCAACUAAGUCAGACGUGAAAUCCCUCGGCUUAACCGGGGAACUGCGUCUGAUACUGGUUGGCUUGAAUCCGGGAGAGGGAUGCAGAAUUCCAGGUGUAGCGGUGAAAUGCGUAGAUAUCUGGAGGAACACCGGUGGCGAAGGCGGCAUCCUGGACCAUUACUGACACUGAAAAGCGAAAGCCAGGGGAGCAAACGGG